GACAGAGGUCCCGAGCGUUGUUCGGAUUCAUUGGGCGUAAAGGGUGCGUAGGCGGCGCAGAAAGUUGGGUGUGAAAUCCCUCGGCUCAACCGAGGAACUGCGCCCAAAACUACUGUGCUCGAGGGAGACAGAGGUGAGCGGAACUUAGGGUGGAGCGGUGAAAUGCGUUGAUAUCCUAAGGAACACCGGUGGCGAAAGCGGCUCACUGGGUCUCUUCUGACGCUGAGGCACGAAAGCUAGGGUAGCGAACGGG
rnacentral:rRNA from 1 species